GCAUGGAGACAAAGUUAUAAUUUUUUUUUUUUUUAAGAAGUAGUUGUUCUUUUUAUCAAUUUAUUUAAAUUUCUUUUUUAUUCUUUUUUCUUUUAAAUAAAACUUAAUUUUUCAAUUUUAACAAAAUAAUAUAUACAAAAGAAUAUGAGAAUAUCCUCCGGCGUCGAGGGAAUUGCACAUAUAGAAAUUCCAAAAAGAAUUGAUUUGAUCCAGGUCAUAAUCUUUAUGGGAUUCCCAAAGUUAUUAAUAGAAAAUAGACCGCGAGGAAUCCAAGAAUUACAGAUUAAUCUAGAAAAAGAAUUUAAUUAUGUGAACCAAAAACUUAACGUUGCUAUCACAAGAAUUGCAAAACCUUAUGGAAACCCUAAUAUUCUUGCAGAAUUUAUAGCCGGACAAUUAAAGAAUAGAGUUUCAUUUCGAAAAGCAAUGAAAAAAGCUAUUGAAUUCAUUUUUAUGUUUUUGAAAUUGAAAUAAGAUUUCCUCCGCUUAAUAGAUAACCAUUUGCUACCAAUGGAGAAUUCCUUCUCAUCUUAAAUUCAGGUGAUUGGAUUUGCACCAAUGGAAA
rnacentral:lncRNA from 1 species